GCACCUAUGGCAGAGUGGUUGAUGCAGUGGACUCAUAAUCCUCCAUACGCCGGUUCAAGUCCGGCUGGGUGCA
rnacentral:tRNA from 1 species